AUAAAACUCUGCAGGCAGCAAUUUGAGUUCAGUUGUAUCAGGCUACCCCAGAAUUUCCCCUGCAGUUUCGCUCAGAGACAUUAGUCUUCCCUUUCCUUCCUGAAGUACCCAAUCCUCUGUGCUCUGUGAUAGAAGGAGCUGUACAACAGCCACCAAAAUACUGAGCAGAGAGGGUAGGCCUAAACAGGAACUGCUCAUUCUGCUCCAUAGGUAGCAAAUCCAUGGAGCCCCCAUGUCUUGCUUAAUCCUCAGUUAAGAGGCUCCCUCCAAAUGCAGGGCCUGGGGUCUGGGGUUCCAAGGAUCCUGUCAUACUCCACCAAUCUUCAUUUAAAUUACAGAGGCCAAAAGGGAGUUUUGCCUGCAGCCUGCACAGCACAGUGGGAUUAGCAGGGCAAUGGUACUAAGGAAAUCUAGGACAGAUGAUAAUGCUGCUGUCUUUGAUCUAGAAAUUGGGACUGGGAUGUCUGUGAGAACAGGUGUUUUCUCCUCAAACUCUUCCAGGAUGGUCUUGUGAUUUGAGGGGCUUCAGGGAGGUUGAUACAAGGGACAUUGGAUGUAAGGCAAUGGAGAAACGGGUCCCUGCAAGAAAUUUUACUUCCACUUGUGAAGAAAAAGGAAGAGCUGCAUUCCCACUCCAUAAACCUGGGAUAGGACAUGUUCCCUGUCUGCCCUUUAUACAUAUAUGGCCCCUGCUGCAGCCAUUCAAAGAGCCAAGUGCAAAGCCAUCUGCAAGACUGGUAACAAGCAGGCCCAGACCAGAGAACCAGAGACUUCACUGCUAAUUACUGGAGCUGGAAGAGCAAGGGAAGCUGGAGAUGCCUGUGUGCCCCCAUCCAUAGGGGAAGAUGUGAAACCCCGGCAGAGGACUAUGAUAUAGUAGUGUGCUGUGCUGUGUUAUGCCUAUCAGAUAUCCAUUCAUCACAUGGAAUUGUGCGAUUAUAGUGCAAACCCAGCAGCUGAAAAGGAUAAAACCUCCUGCUGCCACCUCCUUUCCCACCUGGCUAUGAAUUCACAUUCACACAGGGUAUUCAUAUCCAUAGACACCAAUAUUGUGUACAACUAAAUAUAUUAAAACAAUCCAAAGCAAAUACAAGCAGCCCCAGCCACUACUAUGUAAAGUGUGCAAGCAUUAAUAAUAGUGCAAUGCACUAUGAAAACCACCAGAGAUACUCAUCAGCACAGUCACAGAGGUCAUGGAGCUGUACAUCACCAGUUGCUUGUCUUCCUUUCCUUGGGGUUGUGU
rnacentral:lncRNA from 1 species